rnacentral:lncRNA from 1 species
AGCCAAAUUCAUUAUACAAAUACUAGUUCAGGAGUAUGUAACUUACUGCAUAUAAACAACAUGAAAAUUCUAGUGGUGAAUGUAAAAUCCAUGCUUGAAGAUUCUGCUCAUAGAGCAGUGCAAAUAUAGCUGAUUGUAUAGUUGCAAAGAAACACAUCCAAAAGGUGGAUAAUAUAUGAUCUGGGCAGCAUGAAGAAAUUGGUACCUGUUAAAGUUAAAUCAGAUUUCUGUUGAUAAACAAUAAAGUUGAUUAGAUUAUAUUAAUGAUGGUGUUGUCAAUGCCAUAAUCCUCAUCUUCCUCAGUAUUGUUUACUCCAUUGGUUGCUGUGCAUUCAGGAAUAUCAAGAAGGACAAUUGGAAGGGAUAUUAGUGUCAUUACUAUUAGAUUCAGUAUUAUUAUCAUGUAGAUGAUAAGAGUCAUUUGGUUAAUAUGCUGGAUUGUUUUAGGGAGGGGGAGGGUUUCACAUAUUCAGAGUCCUAACAUCUGUAGCUAGUUGGGUAUGGUCUUCAUCAAAUCUUGUACUCCUAGUUUGAGUACACUAAAUAAAAAAUAUCAUUCUCUUCUUAUUUGUGUUAGUAAUCUAAUUAUUGAUGUUCGGCCUCAUUCACAUGUCUUAAGGGAAUCUCUUGAUCACAAUUAUGGUCACAUCAAUUGUAUUUUUUUCUCCAUAUUUGUCCAUGAUUACUAUAACCACAAUCUAACAGCUACAGCUAAACUAUGUCAUUGACAUGGUUCAGGAAGCAUUUUUUCACACGUUUCUGUUGCAUGUAUGAGGUAUACAACUAUGGAGGGACAUCAUUUGUCUCCAACAAUGUCUCAUUUCCCUGUUCCGGGUCAAUCAAAAUAUUAACUUUUGUUACUUUUUGUUUUUAAAAAAAUUCUUUUUAUUUUAUGCAUGUGACAAUAUGUGAUUGAUUUGUGAUCAGAAACAUGACACUGUUGGUAUCUCUCCAUUCAACUAUACUACCAUCAUUCAUUUUUCUUUAUAGAAAUUUGGGGAUAAGUAUGAAAUGUGUGAUUGAGGUGUAGACACAGGAUCUUAAAUGGAUGUCAUUUUAAAGAGAUAAUGGAUGGUUAUGUCCUUAAUGUGGAGGAAGAGAGUUUUUUCUCUAGGAGAGUGAAAUAAUGUGUCAUUUUAAAGAGAUAAUGAUGCAUGGUUCCCACUGUUCUUGUCCCAAGUCCUUAACCAUUGCUAUUAUUCUAUUAGAGAGAUAAGGAUGUGGAUAACAUUUGUCGCUAUUGUUAUCUGGUACACAUAAAGUUACUAACUCAUAUUGUUUGGACUAGAAACAAAGAUUCUUUUUCAGAUGUAUUAACAUUUUUAAUAAUUGCCAUUGAAUUAUCAUCUUCAAUUUGUUUUCACGUUCUCUUCAGUACAGAUUUUGGAGAAAGAAACUAGGCCAUGUUUCUUUAAGCUGCCACUUGUUUCACCUUGUUGUUUCUUCAAUUCUGAAGUGAUCCAAUUGCACCAAAACUAUCAUUGGUUCAGCAUCAUGGUUCAAUCUUGGCCUCUGCUACAUUUUCUGAAUUCUCUGACAAAAGUGGUUCUUCCAAAUCUAUACUACUACUAAUUAUCUUAUCAUCUUGCAAAUUUGAUUGUUUCUCUUGUUUAAUCUCUUCAAUCUCUUUGGCUUUACCCCAAAGUACAAUAUAUAAACCAGCUAUCACUCCAAUAGCUCCUACCAAACUGAAAAUGAAGUCAAAGUAGGCUUAAAGUGAAAUCCAAUAACAUUGUUUGAGUUAUUGAUGAACAAAAGCUAAAUAUAAAUAAAAUAUACGAACAUGGAAAAUUAACAAUGUAUAACCUUCCAACAUAUAGUUCUUCAUGCAUAAAUGUAACAGUUAUCAAAGCUGUUAUGACAGUUGCUAGAGGAUUGAACAUUGCACAGUACAAAGGACCUCUUUCUGAUAUGCACCAUGUUUGAAUAAAGAAGCUAACUGCAAUCCCAAUUCCCUAUAUCAUAAAAAUCAAUGAUUACAUUUGCAUCUACAAGCCAAAUUCAUUAUACAAAUACUAGUUCAGGAGUAUGUAACUUACUGCAUAUAAACAACAUGAAAAUUCUAGUGGUGAAUGUAAAAUCCAUGCUUGAAGAUUCUGCUCAUAGAGCAGUGCAAAUAUAGCUGAUUGUAUAGUUGCAAAGAAACACAUCCAAAAGGUGGAUAAUAUAUGAUCUGGGCAGCAUGAAGAAAUUGGUACCUGUUAAAGUUAAAUCAGAUUUCUGUUGAUAAACAAUAAAGUUGAUUA